AUAACUGACUGAUAACACUGUGCAAAGUCUGUGCAUGCUUUGUAAAACAAAUAAAUGAAAGAAGAGCAGGCCACAAUAGACUCUAGACUUCCAGAAUAUCAGACCCAUCUGAUCUUUUUAUCUCAAACAUAUUAUCUGAGUUUCUCAACAAAAAUACUGAAGUACUCCUUAUGUUUGAAGUGACUGAGAUCUGCCCAAGGCAGUCUGCUGUUAGUUGUGUUGGUAUUCCAGUUUGUCAGUAAGAAUGUUAAGUCUAAUAGUAAUCUAGAUCCCACCCAGACACUCCUAAAACCCUGCCUUCUUGCUAUGGUUUCACUCACGCUAUGCAUUCACACGACUGACAGUAAAGACACAGAUCCUCUAAUGGUAAUGCUUGAGGGUCGGACUGGGGACAGGUGAGGGUGGGUUUGAAGUUUUCAUCACAUGCUUCAAUAAGAAAGGAUCCAGUGUUUGCAGUGUUGAACUUGUUCUGCACACACACAUUCAUACAAGCAUCUGGUGUGUUUCGUCUGUGCUGACUGAUAGUGAAGACUUGGCCUGUAUUCAUCAAACUACAAAAAGGGAAACUAUGGACAAAAGUGAAAAAUAAAAGAUGUCACCACUUCGUCCACAAUCACAGAGUCUUCGUACAAUAAAGUUCUUUGAAACCAGGGCUGAGGCCUCCAGGAUUCAAACUUCAAACAUUAAAUCAUAGAGAGAAGAGACAGAUGUGAAGACAUUUCCAGAAGGUCUUCAGCUGCUGUCGUCUUCUCUUCCUGCAGAGACAAGAACAUGCGUUGAUCACAGAAACUGAGCGGUAAAUCUAAAAUAUUUUAGGACAUUUUUUGAUGUUUUGAUGCCUUGCUAUAUUAUGACAUGCUGCUUAAGACGAAGGAACUAGCUUACCUUUGUUUUCCACAGACACGUUUGUGGGUCAGGUUAAAUAAGUUAGUCAUUUUGGUAUUUUCCUAACUCAAACUGCAAUGUUGUGUACAUAUUAUCUUGUACAUAUAAUGCCCGUUUCUAUUUUUGCUAUUGCAACAGUGAAAUAAAUGCAUCUGAACUAA